AGGACACUCACCAUCCUGGUGUGGGGGUUUGAAGACAUAGCCACGGUUAUCCAGGCUGCGGCGGUAGAAGCUGGCAUUGAAGGGCUCCGGGUUCUCUGUCCAGUCCUCAGCUGCUCUGAUUACCGAGAUGGACAGAGGCUGGGCAGUGCCUACGUGUUGAGAUCCUGGUCCCGCCAAACACGCUCCACCAGCUGCUGUGUGAUGCCAGUGUCCAAGAUCAGGUUGUGCAGAAGGAAGUUGUUGCCUGGAAUGGGAGGGUAAGGGUGGAGAGGGCAUCUUCUUGUGGCUCCCUGCCCACUGUCCCCUGUAUACCCCACACUGUCUGGAGCCUUCCCCACUCUCUGGCCCAGACCCUGCCCUGGGCUUGGGUCUGCAUCAUGCCUGCCCGGUCUCGGGGUUCUAUUGGGCUGCCUCCCUUGGGGCCUGGGCACUGCCCAGAACCGGAGGCCCCACCAGGCACUCACACUGCUUGGAGUCUGGAGUCACUUUCUCCAUGAGCUCAAUGAAGUUUUUCAGGAACUCGG